CCUACGGGGGGCCGCAGUGGGGACUAUUGCACAAUGGGGGAAACCCUGAUGCAGCGACGCCGCGUGCGUGAAGAAGUAAUUCGUUACGUAAAGCUCUAUCAGCAGGGAAGAAACACUGACCUUACGGUCAGCAGACGGUACCUGAGUAAGAAGCUCCGGCUAACUACGUGCCAGCAGCCGCGGUAAUACGUAGGGGGCAAGCGUUAUCCGGAUUUACUGGGUGUAAAGGGAGCGUAGACGGUGCGCCAAGUCUGGAGUGAAAUGCCGCAGCUUAACUGCGGAACUGCUUGGGAAACUGGCGAACUAGAGUGCGGGAGGGGUAAGCGGAAUUCCUAGUGUAGCGGUGAAAUGCGUAGAUAUUAGGAGGAACACCGGUGGCGAAGGCGGCUUACUGGACCGUAACUGACGUUGAGGCUCGAAAGCGUGGGGAGCAAACAGGAGUAGAUACCCUUGUAGUC
rnacentral:rRNA from 1 species